rnacentral:rRNA from 1 species
CCUACGGGAGGCAGCAGUGGGGGAUAUUGCACAAUGGGGGGAACCCUGAUGCAGCGACGCCGCGUGUGGGAAGACGGUCCUCUGGAUUGUAAACCACUGUCCCCAGGGACGAAAAUGACGGUACCUGGGGAGGAAGCUCCGGCAAACUACGUGCCAGCAGCCGCGGUAAUACGUAGGGAGCGAGCGUUGUCCGGAAUUACUGGGGGUAAAGGGAGCGUGGGGGGGGAUGCAAGUUGGGUGUAAAAACUACCGGCUCAACUGGUAGUCGCACUCAAAACUGCAGCUCUUGAGUGAAGUAGAGGCAGGCGGAAUUCCUAGUGUAGCGGUGAAAUGCGUAGAUAUUAGGAGGAACACCAGUGGCGAAGGCGGCCUGCUGGGCUUUUACUGACGCUGAGGCUCGAAAGUGUGGGGAGCAAACAGGAUUAGAUACCCUUGUAGUC